rnacentral:rRNA from 1 species
GACGAACGCUGGCGGCGUGCUUAACACAUGCAAGUCGAGCGAUGAAGUUCCUUCGGGAAUGGAUUAGCGGCGGACGGGUGAGUAACACGUGGGUAACCUGCCUCAUAGAGGGGAAUAGCCUUUCGAAAGGAAGAUUAAUACCGCAUAAGAUUGUAGUAUCGCAUGAUACAGCAAUUAAAGGAGUAAUCCGCUAUGAGAUGGACCCGCGUCGCAUUAGCUAGUUGGUGAGGUAACGGCUCACCAGGGCGACGAUGCGUAGCCGACCGGAGAGGGGGAUCGGCCACAUUGGGACUGAGACACGGCCCAGACUCCUACGGGAGGCAGCAGUGGGGAAUAUUGCACAAUGGGGGAAACCCUGAUGCAGCAACGCCGCGUGAGUGAUGACGGUCUUCGGAUUGUAAAACUCUGUCUUCAGGGACGAUAAUGACGGUACCUGAGGAGGAAGCCACGGCUAACUACGUGCCAGCAGCCGCCGUAA